AACGAACGCUGGCGGCAGGCCUCAAACAUGCAAGUCUAGGGGGUGUAGCAAUACAUCACCGGCGGACGGGUGCGUAACGCGUGGGAAUAUACCUAUUGGUUCGGAACAACACAGGGAAACUUGUGCUAAUACCGAAUGUGCCCUUACGGGAAAGAUUUAUCGCCAAUGGAUUAGCCCGCGUCCGAUUAGCUAGUUGGUGAGGUAACGGCUCACCAAGGCUCCGAUCGGUAGCUGUUCUGAGAGGAAGAUCAGCCACACUGGGACUGAGACACGGCCCAGACUCCUACGGGAGGCAGCAGUUGGGAAUCUUGGACAAUGGGGGAAACCCGUAGAUCCAGCCAUGCCGCGUGAGUGAAGAAGGCCUUAGGGUUGGUAAAACUACUUUCGCCGGUCGAAGAAUAAUAGACGGUAACCGGAGAAGAAGACCCGGCCGUAACU
rnacentral:rRNA from 1 species